rnacentral:rRNA from 1 species
AGAGUUUGAUCAUGGCUCAGGAUAAACGCUGGCGGCGUGCCUAACACAUGCAAGUCGAACGAUCCCGCAAGGGAGAGUGGCGGAAGGGUGAGUAACACGUGGGAAUCUACCUCCUCGCAGGGAACAACCUCUCGAAAGAGAGGCUAAUACCCAAAAGGGUCAGAAAUGAUCAGAGUCGAAAGGCGUGAGGAGAGGAGCCCGCGGCCCAUCAGCUAGUUGGUGAGGUAAUGGCUUACCAAGGCUACGACGGGCAGGGGAUCUGAGAGGAUGUCCCCCACACUGGAACUGAAACACGGUCCAGACGCCUACGGGUGGCAGCAGUGAGGAAUAUUGGACAAUGGGCGAAAGCCCGAUCCAGCAACGCCGCGUGGAGGAUGAAGGCCUUCGGGUCGUAAACUUCUUUAGAGGGAGACGAGAAAGGACGGUAUCCCUAGAAUAAGCGACGGCAAACUACGUG